GAUGAACGCUGGCGGCGUGCCUAAUACAUGCAAGUCGAGCGAACGGACGAGAAGCUUGCUUCUCUGAUGUUAGCGGCGGACGGGUGAGUAACACGUGGAUAACCUACCUAUAAGACUGGGAUAACUUCGGGAAACCGGAGCUAAUACCGGAUAAUAUUUUGAACCGCAUGGUUCAAAAGUGAAAGACGGUCUUGCUGUCACUUAUAGAUGGAUCCGCGCUGCAUUAGCUAGUUGGUAAGGUAACGGCUUACCAAGGCAACGAUGCAUAGCCGACCUGAGAGGGUGAUCGGCCACACUGGAACUGAGACUCGGUCCAGACUCCUACGGGAGGCAGCAGUAGGGAAUCUUCCGCAAUGGGCGAAAGCCUGACGGAGCAACGCCGCGUGAGUGAUGAAGGUCUUCGGAUCGUAAAACUCUGUUAUUAGGGAAGAACAUAUGUGUAAGUAACUGUGCACAUCCUGACGGUACCUAAUCAGAAAGCCACGGCUAACUACGUG
rnacentral:rRNA from 1 species